UAGCUCAGUUGGUUAGAGCACCACCUUGACAUGGUGGGGGUCGUUGGUUCGAGUCCA
rnacentral:tRNA from 1 species